rnacentral:rRNA from 1 species
GACGAACGCUGGCGGCGUGCUUAACACAUGCAAGUCGAACGGAAAGGCCCUGCUUUUGUGGGGUGCUCGAGUGGCGAACGGGUGAGUAACACGUGAGUAACCUGCCCUUGACUUUGGGAUAACUUCAGGAAACUGGGGCUAAUACCGGAUAGGAGCUCCUGCUGCAUGGUGGGGGUUGGAAAGUUUCGGCGGUUGGGGAUGGACUCGCGGCUUAUUAGCUUGUUGGUGGGGUAGUGGCUUACCAAGGCUUUGACGGGUAGCCGGCCUGAGAGGGUGACCGGCCACACUGCGACUGAGAUACGGCCCAGACUCCUACGGGAGGCAGCAGUGGGGAAUAUUGCACAAUGGGCGGAGGCCUGAUGCAGCAACGCCGCGUGCCGGAUGACGGCCUUCGGGUUGUAAACCGCUUUCGCCUGUGACGAAGCGUUAGUGACGGUAAUGGGUAAAGAAGCACCGGCUAACUACGUG